UGGAAUGCGCAGAUAUCAGGAGGAACACCGAUGGCGAAGGCAGAUCUCUGGGCCGUAACUGACGCUGAGGAGCGAAAGGGUGGGGAGCAAACAGGCUUAGAUACCCUGGUAGUCCACCCCGUAAACGUUGGGAACUAGUUGUGGGGUCCAUUCCACGGAUUCCGUGACGCAGCUAACGCAUUAAGUUCCCCGCCUGGGGAGUACGGCCGCAAGGCUAAAACUCAAAGGAAUUGACGGGGACCCGCACAAGCGGCGGAGCAUGCGGAUUAAUUCGAUGCAACGCGAAGAACCUUACCAAGGCUUGACAUAUACGAGAACGGGCCAGAAAUGGUCAACUCUUUGGACACUCGUAAACAGGUGGUGCAUGGUUGUCGUCAGCUCGUGUCGUGAGAUGUUGGGUUAAGUCCCGCAACGAGCGCAACCCUCGUUCUAUGUUGCCAGCACGUAAUGGUGGGAACUCAUGGGAUACUGCCGGGGUCAACUCGGAGGAAGGUGGGGAUGACGUCAAAUCAUCAUGCCCCUUAUGUCUUGGGCUUCACGCAUGCUACAAUGGCCGGUACAAAGGGCUGCAAUACCGUGAGGUGGAGCGAAUCCCAAAAAGCCGGUCCCAGUUCGGAUUGAGGUCUGCAACUCGACCUCAUGAAGUCGGAGUCGCUAGUAAUCGCAGAUCAGCAACGCUGCGGUGAAUACGUUCCCGGGUCUUGUACACACCGCCCGUCAAGUCAUGAAAGUCGGUAACACCUGAAGCCGGUGGCCUAACCCUUGUGGAGGGAGCUGUCGAAGGUGG
rnacentral:rRNA from 1 species